rnacentral:rRNA from 1 species
GAUGAACGCUGGCGGCGUGCCUAAUACAUGCCAGUCGAGCGAACGGACGAGAAGCUUGCUUCUCUGAUGUUAGCGGCGGACGGGUGAGUAACACGUGGAUAACCUACCUAUCAGACUGGGAUAACUUCGGGAAACCGGAGCUAAUACCGGAUAAUAUUUUGAACCGCAUGGUUCAAAAGUGAAAGACGGUCUUGCUGUCACUUAUAGAUGGAUCCGCGCUGCAUUAGCUAGUUGGUAAGGUAACGGCUUACCAAGGCAACGAUGCAUAGCCGACCGGAGAGGGUGAUCGGCCACACUGGAACUGGGACACGGUCCAGACUACUACGGGAGGCAGCAGUAGGGAAUCUUCCGCAAUGGGCGAAAGCCUGACGGAGCAACGCCGCAUGAGUGAUGAAGGUCUUCGGAUCGUAAAACUCUGUUAUUAGGGAAGAACAUAUGUGUAAGUAACUGUGCACAUCUUGACGGUACCUAAUCAGAAAGCCACGGCUAACUACGUG